AUGCCUUCCUAGAGAUAAGCUGCUCUUCAGUAGGGCUCCUGGACUCUGGGGAAGCUUCCCUCUUUUUGUAGACAACUUUUACAGAGAGAUCCAGAAUGGCAUAGUGAUUACGAUGCUGGAAUGAAUGCCACCCUGUGACGUUGAUUGUGCUGGGAGCAUAACUGAAUCAAAGUAAACAAGACAGCUUUCAUACCUAAA